rnacentral:rRNA from 1 species
AUUGAACGCUGGCGGCAUGCCUUACACAUGCAAGUCGAACGGCAUCGCGGGAAAGCUUGCUUUCCUGGCGGCGAGUGGCGAACGGGUGAGUAACACAUCGGAACGUACCGGCUAGUGGGGGAUAACCCGUCGAAAGACGGGCUAAUACCGCAUACGCUCUUCGGAGGAAAGCAGGGGACCUUUGGGCCUUGCGCUAGUCGAGCGGCCGAUGUCCGAUUAGCUCGUUGGUGGGGUAAAGGCCUACCAAGGCGACGAUCGGUAGCGGGUCUGAGAGGACGAUCCGCCACACUGGGACUGAGACACGGCCCAGACUCCUACGGGAGGCAGCAGUGGGGAAUCUUGGACAAUGGGGGCAACCCUGAUCCAGCAAUGCCGCGUGGGUGAAGAAGGCCUUCGGGUUGUAAAGCCCUUUCGGCAGGGAAGAAAUCGGCGGGGCGAAUAACCCUGCUGGAUGACGGUACCUGCAGAAGAAGCACCGGCUAACUACGUG